CACGAAGGGGGCUAGCGUUGCUCGGAAUUACUGGGCGUAAAGGGAGCGUAGGCGGACAUUUAAGUCAGGGGUGAAAUCCCGGGGCUCAACCUCGGAAUUGCCUUUGAUACUGGGUGUCUUGAGUAUGAGAGAGGUAUGUGGAACUCCGAGUGUAGAGGAGAAAUUCGUAGAUAUUCGGAAGAACACCAGUGGCGAAGGCGACAUACUGGCUCAUUACUGACGCUGAGGCUCGAAAGCGUGGGGAGCAAACAGG
rnacentral:rRNA from 1 species